CCUUCCGGUUCUCCAGAACCGGGCAGAACUGGUCGAAUACCACCACUGAUGCUACAUUCCUUAAAGCUGAGGAAAGAUGCCACAUGGGCAGCCAAACUAAGAGUUAUGUAUGAGAACAUAACGGGAGAUAAUUCUCUCUGGAGACAUCCUAGGAUUAGCUGCAACACCUGAUGGCAUAUCCAAUAAGUUUAAAGUUGGAAGGGAAUGAGUCUCAACAAGGGGACUUGGGUAUUGAGAUGAAACUAUAUAUAAUGUAUGUUUUGGAAUUCAAAGGUGUGGCUUUUGAUUUGAACCUGCUUGUUGAGGUUCUAAAAGGUUCUCAACAGUGCUUUGCAAACUGCCCAUUAUUUCUUUUUUAAUAAAUUCUGUUUUCAGUGAUCCAAGUUUCUUUUGUUGGCUUUGAGUUAUUUCCAACACUAUUAAGUGCUCCAGAUGAGCACUCAUAUCAUAGCAUCUAGCUGCCUGCCCAGUGAGAUUUUGAAUCCUUACAUUCUCUUAUACAAAGGUUCCUCAAUGACAUUUCCUAUAGAAACUCUUGAAUUGAAAAAAUACUUGGUCAUUUGAUCUCAUCCUAGCAUUUAAUUCACACCAAUUGUUACUGAUGAUACAAGGUAUUUAGAGAAGUAAAGAUAAAAACUUCUAUGCACUCCAAGUAGUGUUGAUCUGAGCAUAGUUUUUUAAAGGCAGAAAAGCAGAAGUUUCCUCGAAGAAAAGAAUAUCAAACUGUCAUACAGAAUCAAGACAAGGUUGGUCUUUUGAAGGUGCCGGCCAGCCUGCAAUACUCCAAGUUAAAUUCAUAACUAAUUCAGUCACUAAGUGACCAGUUUUAAGUUGAUGACCUGUAUCGUGUAAUAGCUAUCCAAUUGCUUUUUAUUAACCAAAAGCAAUCAUUAGAAAUCAUGUUUUAUUCAAAAUACAACAAUUUAAUUCCAUUGAUAUCUGCCAAUUAUACAUGAAACAAUGUUAGAAGAACUCUUGUCCUUUUUUGUUCACACUUGUGCUAAAAUCUGAUGUCCAAAUGGUUUCUUCUGCUGCAGACAUAAUUGGUUGGUAUUAUACCGAGAGCACUCAACUUAUGGCCAUAAUUAACUGGAACCUCCAUCAUUAAGUGUUGCAGAUACUGAUUCUUUUGCUGCAGUCAAGCAAAUCUGGCAUUCAUUAUAAACUUGGCUCGUCAGAAGCACUCAUAGAAAUUAUGAUUACAU